GAAUGCCUCCCUGGCCUCCCUCCUGCUGCCAGCUUAAUCAGCCACAGGCAGUGAGGAGAAGGGAUUUCUGGGAAGGCCAGGAGUCUACAAAUGCCCACCUUUUGGAAGUGAAGCAAGGCUCGCUCGACAGCUUGACGGUCACAGUUCCCUGAGUACCAAGGCUGACCCAGAAGGCUUCCAUCCUAUAUAACACACAGAGCUACUCAGAGAUGUCUUCCAGCACUGGCCCAGCACCCUGGGAGGACAGUCCUUGCAUGAUUUCCAAAUGAGAACUGAUCUUGGGACACACACUGGCAGCCUCCCAAUUUAGGAAAUGGGAAACGCCCAAGAGGAUCCUCUCAGGCCUGAUCUUGGCAGAGUCAGAGCUGCAAGGACCCCCUUGAUGAGGGUUUCUCGUAUAGCUUUGGCUGUCCUGGAC